UAGUGUUGUAAUGUAAUGUUGAGAGGCAUUAAAUACUUUUGAUUUUGAAGAUUGAUAAGAUAAGUGUGUAUGAAUGAACAAAGAUAUAUGGAAGGAGUGGCGUUGAAUUAUUUACCAGGAAUUAUAUCCGUUGGUUGACCAUGCAAAAGGAAAACUUCAAGUGAGAUGAAAAA